GAUUAAGUUAUUAAGGGCGCACGGUGGAUGCCUUGGCACUAGAAGCCGAUGAAGGACGUUACUAACGACGAUAUGCUUUGGGGAGCUGUAAGUAAGCUUUGAUCCAGAGAUUUCCGAAUGGGGAAACCCAGCAUGAGUUAUGUCAUGUUAUCGAUAUGUGAAUACAUAGCAUAUCAGAAGGCACACCCGGAGAACUGAAACAUCUUAGUACCCGGAGGAAGAGAAAGAAAAUUCGAUUCCCUUAGUAGCGGCGAGCGAAACGGGAAGAGCCCAAACCAACAAGCUUGCUUGUUGGGGUUGUAGGACACUCUAUACGGAGUUACAAAGGACGACAUUAGACGAAUCAUCUGGAAAGAUGAAUCAAAGAAGGUAAUAAUCCUGUAGUCGAAAAUGUUGUCUCUCUUGAGUGGAUCCUGAGUACGACGGAGCACGUGAAAUUCCGUCGGAAUCUGGGAGGACCAUCUCCUAAGGCUAAAUACUCUCUAGUGACCGAUAGUGAACCAGUACCGUGAGGGAAAGGUGAAAAGCACCCCGGAAGGGGAGUGAAAUAGAACCUGAAACCGUGUGCUUACAAGUAGUCAGAGCCCGUUAAUGGGUGAUGGCGUGCCUUUUGUAGAAUGAACCGGCGAGUUACGAUUUGAUGCAAGGUUAAGCAGUAAAUGUGGAGCCGUAGCGAAAGCGAGUCUGAAUAGGGCGUUUAGUAUUUGGUCGUAGACCCGAAACCAGGUGAUCUACCCUUGGUCAGGUUGAAGUUCAGGUAACACUGAAUGGAGGACCGAACCGACUUACGUUGAAAAGUGAGCGGAUGAACUGAGGGUAGCGGAGAAAUUCCAAUCGAACCUGGAGAUAGCUGGUUCUCUCCGAAAUAGCUUUAGGGCUAGCCUCAAGUGAUGAUUAUUGGAGGUAGAGCACUGUUUGGACGAGGGGCCCCUCUCGGGUUACCGAAUUCAGACAAACUCCGAAUGCCAAUUAAUUUAACUUGGGAGUCAGAACAUGGGUGAUAAGGUCCAUGUUCGAAAGGGAAACAGCCCAGACCACCAGCUAAGGUCCCAAAAUAUAUGUUAAGUGGAAAAGGAUGUGGCGUUGCCCAGACAACUAGGAUGUUGGCUUAGAAGCAGCCAUCAUUUAAAGAGUGCGUAAUAGCUCACUAGUCGAGUGACACUGCGCCGAAAAUGUACCGGGGCUAAACAUAUUACCGAAGCUGUGGAUUGUCCUUUGGACAAUGGUAGGAGAGCGUUCUAAGGGCGUUGAAGCAUGAUCGUAAGGACAUGUGGAGCGCUUAGAAGUGAGAAUGCCGGUGUGAGUAGCGAAAGACGGGUGAGAAUCCCGUCCACCGAUUGACUAAGGUUUCCAGAGGAAGGCUCGUCCGCUCUGGGUUAGUCGGGUCCUAAGCUGAGGCCGACAGGCGUAGGCGAUGGAUAACAGGUUGAUAUUCCUGUACCACCUAUAAUCGUUUUAAUCGAUGGGGGGACGCAGUAGGAUAGGCGAAGCGUGCGAUUGGAUUGCACGUCUAAGCAGUAAGGCUGAGUAUUAGGCAAAUCCGGUACUCGUUAAGGCUGAGCUGUGAUGGGGAGAAGACAUUGUGUCUUCGAGUCGUUGAUUUCACACUGCCGAGAAAAGCCUCUAGAUAGAAAAUAGGUGCCCGUACCGCAAACCGACACAGGUAGUCAAGAUGAGAAUUCUAAGGUGAGCGAGCGAACUCUCGUUAAGGAACUCGGCAAAAUGACCCCGUAACUUCGGGAGAAGGGGUGCUCUUUAGGGUUAACGCCCAGAAGAGCCGCAGUGAAUAGGCCCAAGCGACUGUUUAUCAAAAACACAGGUCUCUGCUAAACCGUAAGGUGAUGUAUAGGGGCUGACGCCUGCCCGGUGCUGGAAGGUUAAGAGGAGUGGUUAGCUUCUGCGAAGCUACGAAUCGAAGCCCCAGUAAACGGCGGCCGUAACUAUAACGGUCCUAAGGUAGCGAAAUUCCUUGUCGGGUAAGUUCCGACCCGCACGAAAGGCGUAACGAUUUGGGCACUGUCUCAACGAGAGACUCGGUGAAAUCAUAGUACCUGUGAAGAUGCAGGUUACCCGCGACAGGACGGAAAGACCCCGUGGAGCUUUACUGUAGCCUGAUAUUGAAAUUCGGCACAGCUUGUACAGGAUAGGUAGGAGCCUUUGAAACGUGAGCGCUAGCUUACGUGGAGGCGCUGGUGGGAUACUACCCUAGCUGUGUUGGCUUUCUAACCCGCACCACUUAUCGUGGUGGGAGACAGUGUCAGGCGGGCAGUUUGACUGGGGCGGUCGCCUCCUAAAAGGUAACGGAGGCGCUCAAAGGUUCCCUCAGAAUGGUUGGAAAUCAUUCAUAGAGUGUAAAGGCAUAAGGGAGCUUGACUGCGAGACCUACAAGUCGAGCAGGGUCGAAAGACGGACUUAGUGAUCCGGUGGUUCCGCAUGGAAGGGCCAUCGCUCAACGGAUAAAAGCUACCCCGGGGAUAACAGGCUUAUCUCCCCAAGAGUUCACAUCGACGGGGAGGUUUGGCACCUCGAUGUCGGCUCAUCGCAUCCUGGGGCUGUAGUCGGUCCCAAGGGUUGGGCUGUUCGCCCAUUAAAGCGGUACGCGAGCUGGGUUCAGAACGUCGUGAGACAGUUCGGUCCCUAUCCGUCGUGGGCGUAGGAAAUUUGAGAGGAGCUGUCCUUAGUACGAGAGGACCGGGAUGGACAUACCUCUGGUGUACCAGUUGUCGUGCCAACGGCAUAGCUGGGUAGCUAUGUGUGGACGGGAUAAGUGCUGAAAGCAUCUAAGCAUGAAGCCCCCCUCAAGAUGAGAUUUCCCAACUUCGGUUAUAAGAUCCCUCAAAGAUGAUGAGGUUAAUAGGUUCGAGGUGGAAGCAUGGUGACAUGUGGAGCUGACGAAUACUAAUCGAUCGAAGACUUAAUCAA
rnacentral:rRNA from 1 species